CUGGGAAAAGAUCCGGUCAUAUGACGUGUUUUUUAUGGUGAAAAGAUCUACUCGGGGAGAGGACGCGUCUUGGAUGCCACAUAAACAGAGGUCUACGGAUUGGAGUUAUUCGACCAUAUUCCGUCAAUAUCGGCAAUUCAGUUGCGCGAAGUCAGCGGCACCAGAAGUAUUGCUGUUGUUCACCUCUGGCCUGAAGCAUCUGGCUAGUGCGGGUUUUGGUUCUUUGAUAGGCCUGCGCCCAACUGUCAGGUUCAGGUUGCCGGUCUCACGGCUGCAGAUCACGAUCAUCUCAGUAUUAUUGCAACAAUCCUCGACUCUUAGCUAUCAUGGUCCAUCCAAAUCCGCUGAUCUUCCCUCUCAUAAUCACUCCAAUUAUGAGCUGAAACCAAAUAAGAGCUAAACUUAACAAACGCCAUCGAAAUAACGGGUAUUGUUGAU